rnacentral:rRNA from 1 species
AUUGAACGCUGGCGGAAUGCUUUACACAUGCAAGUCGAACGGCAGCACGGACUUCGGUCUGGUGGCGAGUGGCGAACGGGUGAGUAACAUAUCGGAACGUAUCCAAUAAUGGGGGAUAACUAAUCGAAAGGUUGGCUAAUACCGCAUACGCCCUACGGGGGAAAGCAGGGGAUCUUCGGACCUUGCGUUAAUGGAGCGGCUGAUAUCUGAUUAGCUAGUUGGUGAGGUAAAGGCUCACCAAGGCGACGAUCAGUAGCUGGUCUGAGAGGACGACCAGCCACACUGGAACUGAGACACGGUCCAGACUCCUACGGGAGGCAGCAGUGGGGAAUUUUGGACAAUGGGCGCAAGCCUGAUCCAGCCAUUCCGCGUGAGUGAAGAAGGCCUUCGGGUUGUAAAGCCCUUUCGCAAGGGAAGAAAACUUACUUUCUAAUAAAGAGUGAGGUUGACGGUACCUUGAUAAGAAGCACCGGCUAACUACGUGCCAGCAGCCGCAGUAA